CCUACGGGAGGCAGCAGUGAGGAAUAUUGGUCAAUGGGCGCAAGCCUGAACCAGCCAAGUAGCGUGAAGGAAGACGGCCCUACGGGUUGUAAACUUCUUUUAUAAGGGAAUAAAGUGAGGCACGUGUGCCUUUUUGUAUGUACUUUAUGAAUAAGCAUCGGCUAACUCCGUGCCAGCAGCCGCGGUAAUACGGAGGAUCCGAGCGUUAUCCGGAUUUAUUGGGUUUAAAGGGAGCGUAGAUGGGUUGUUAAGUCAGUUGUGAAAGUUUGCGGCUCAACCGUAAAAUUGCAAUUGAUACUGGCAGCCUUGAGUACAGUUGAGGUAGGCGGAAUGCGUGGUGUAGCGGUGAAAUGCUUAGAUAUCACGAAGAACUCCGAUUGCGAAGGCAGCCUACUAAACUGCCACUGACAUUGAUGCACGAAAGUGUGGGUAUCAAACAGGAUUAGAUACCCGAGUAGUC
rnacentral:rRNA from 1 species